UGAUACUGUUGAAAACAAAAUAAGUCGGCCCAAACACAUUUUGUUUUCAAAAUAAGCUACUGUAACGAGUCUGGAACAUUAGAGCCUGUUUGGCAAGUGUUUUGUUUUGUUUUAGACCUGCUACAGUAACCCUUUUGAAGCCUAAAACACGUUUGGCUGGGCUUGUUGCGUUUGAAACAGUUGCAAAACAGAAUCAAAUUUGGGCCCAAAAGAUGAAACACCAUUUUGGUGUUUUUUGUUGCUUUCGGUUGUAUUUACACUGCAGCGGAACAAGCAAAUCAUUCAUUUAACUGUAGCGGAGGCAACAAUUGAAAGGAGGUAUAAAAGAAAAACUUGCAACAAUCCUAGGGUUUGGUUUGCUGCGUUGUGGUCUGGCAAUCUUGGCGAUUCUUGGUGACAACUGAACAACUGCUAUUUUCGGCCGAUACUUUCCACGAUAUGCUUUCCUUUGCUGCUAUCUUCGACGAUCUCAAUAGAUGGAUAUGAAUGUUGAGAAUGUGGAAUAAUGUGGUGAUUAUCGCACAAUUGAAGAAGAAGGGGUGGCUAAAGUGGUCGGGAGGAAGUGUUCAAUCAUAGGCAUUCAUCCUUGAGAAAUAUAAUUGAGCGAUGCUUUGGGUUGUUGAAGAUGAGAUUUGCUAUUUUGAGGGUAAUGCCUCCUUAUAAGUUUUCAACACAAGUAUUGAUUGUAAUGGCUUGUUGCACAUUGCAUAACUUCAUCAGAAAUCAGCAUCAACCAGAUGAUUUAUUUGAUGGGUAACGAUCUUCCUCAAACUGAUGGUGAAGAUGAUGAGAUUGUUGACCAUGUGCCUUCGGCUCAGCUUCGAGAAAUGGAUCAGUUGCAUAAUACUAUUACUGAUCGAAUUUGGAAUUCUCUUCAGCACUCUUGAUCCUUCUAGAAGUGAUGGUAUGUUUUUUCUUUUAUAUGUAAUAUAUUUGUUGCUAUUGUGAGCUUGUAAUAUAUAUAUGUAAUAUAAAUUAUUUUUUCUGUUA